GCUCCCAGCCUGGCUUUAGGCAGCUGGAGAAAGAUUCUUCUGUCUUUCUGUCUGUCUGUCUGUCUUUCCUCUGUCUUUCACAGUGGAAUUAUAUGGGGAAACCUGCGGAUCACAGCUUUUGCAGCAAAGAAUUUCCAAACUGCAGGUAUAGGUGGAGGUGCCCCUUGGGAGAUUUCAGAGAGGGACCUGACUGACGUGGUGAAUCCAGAAGAGACUGGGCACCCCCUGCCCCUCCAGACACUGCCCAUGUACCUGUUUGGCUGGUGAGUCCCUCUUACUGCAUCCCUGCUCCCCCCACGUCACACCCACUGGCCUUUGAGAUGCAGGCUGGGUGCCCCAGUGAUUAGCAGCCAGUGCCGCUCUCCUAACUAGCCACGGGGGUCGGGGGCGAUGCUGAAAGGGCUGCUUCCUUCCUCUGCCUGGCCUGGGGCCUGAGCUGCCCAGGGGCUGAGGAGCUGAGACUGGGAUUUGUACCCAGCUCCCCCAUGUAGCAAAUCUCUGCCUCCCAUCUCUGUAGGCACCAGGGGCAGGGAAACAACUGCCCCAGGGUGGGACGAGCAAUCCCCAAGCAGCAUUGCUGUGUGGUGAUGAAAACAGCUGCCACGCCCUACCCCAGCCCGGGCUGAGGGAUCCCUAUGUAAUAAGCCCCCACGCCGCACCCCAGAGGUGGCUGCAUUUCUGUGGCGGGUGCGUGUUCCCUGUGUACAAUCAGAAAGGCUCUGCCACCAGGUGAUUUCUUCCCCCACCCCAGCUGAGACAUGACCAGCCUGUGGAAUUGCAUGGGUUGAAGGAGUGAGCUGCGGGGAGGCCCAGGAGUUGGGGGAUGGGAACGCAGGGGGAUGGGCAAUGGGGCUAUGCCCGGAGGAGGAAAGGGUUAAGCCCGCAGCAGUGCCAGGCGGAGGGGGAUGGGCUUGUGGUUCGACGGGUGGGCGCCGGCUUCUAGGAAACAGCAUCAGCCCAGUGCAGCAGGCGCAAAGUCACUUCCUCGCGGUGGGCACAAUUGCGAAAUUCCCCUCGGCACCUGGCCCGGCCAGGCCAGGUCAUGGGGCCAGCCGGGUCUUCACGCUGUCCUGCCCAGCAGCGAUGCUGGCAAAGGCUGGGGCCAGUCCCCACUGCCCAUUCUGCUCAGCGUCCAUACCCGCUGUGCAUGCCAGCCCCCCCUCCCCCCCGGCCAUGUCAGUCCUCGCUGGCCACGGGGCCGGGUGUGAGACAGUGCGCGUGACACCGCUAAGGAGCGUGUGCGUGUGAGAUGAAGCACAGGUGUGAUUUCUGCCUGUUGGAGUGUGUGAGCGUGUGUAGGUGUGAUUUCUGCAUACGCGGCCGUGAGCUGCCUGGGGGGGCGGCGGGUUUGGCUGGAGGCGCGUGGGGCAGUGUGAGGAGCAUGGGGGCAGCUGGGAUCUGUCUGGGGGGUGGCGGGUUUGGCUGGAGACACGUGGGGCAGUGUGAGGAGCAUGGGGGCAGCUGGGAUCUCUCUCGGGAGUGGCGAGUUUGGCUGGAAGCGCGUGGGGCGCUGUGAGGAGCGUGGGGGCGGCUGGGAUCUGUCUGGGGGGUGGCGGGUUUGCCUGGAGGCACAUGGGGCAGUGUGAGGAGCAUGGGGGCGGCUGGGAUCUGUCUGGAGGUUGGCGGGUUUGGCUGGAGGCGCGUGGGGCAGUGUGAGGAGUGUGGGGACGGCUGGGAUCUGUCUGGGGGUCGGUGGGUUUGGCUGGAGGCGCGUGAGGCAGUGUGAGGAGCGUGGGGACGGCUGGGAUCUGUCUGGGGGUCGGUGGGUUUGGCUGGAGGCGCGUGAGGCAGUGUGAGGAGCGUGGGGGCGGCUGGGAUCUGUCUGGGGGUCAGCAGGUUUGCCUGGAGGCACGUGGGGCAGUGUGAGGAGCAUGGGGGCGGCUGGGAUCUGUCUGGAGGUCGGUGGGUUUGGCUGGAGGCGUGUGGGGCAGUGUGAGGAACGUGGGGG